rnacentral:lncRNA from 1 species
AAAAUCUAGAAUUUAUUUACUUCAGACAUAGAAAACCAAAUUCCAUAGCACUUUCAUCUCAGAAAAGAAACUGACAAUUUUUAAAAUAAGUAAAAUUUAGGAUGUCUUAGAAGGUUAAAUAUCACUAUGAAAAAAAGUAGGAUGAUGAGCUGGAUCAGGACUGCUGGAAUGUAAAAUCUACAAGAGGAUGCAUUUUCUUUAAAUUGUAUUCCCAGGAUGUAGAAAAUUGCCUGGCAUAUAGUAGCCAUGCCUGUAGCUAUUUUGGGGUGCAUAAAUUAUAAAUUCAUGCAUUUAGCUUUUUCAUAUUAGAAGUGAGAUCUCUGGGGAAAAGACAACUCUCGUUUCCCAGACUAAAAUUAAUUCAGUAGCUGUAGCCUGGUCUCUACACGAAUAUCCAGUUUAGUGGGAAAAUUAGUCUUCCUGGAAUAGAGAAACUUUGUAAUUGGAUUGACUACUCUAUGAUCCCUAUUGUCAAAAGAAUAAUUAAAGUUUGCUUAUAUUUUAGAAAAUCAUAAAAAGUAGUUUUUAUUCCUUUGAGAACAUCAGCAUUUUGGAUGUUACUAAAACUAAACAUUAUAAACUUAACUGAAUGAUUGUAGCUUUGGAAGACAAGAAGCCAAGACACGGAAGCAAUCUAAAUGUCCAUCAACAGAUGAAUGAUAAUGAAAAUGUGCUCUCAUUCUCUCUCUCUAUGUGUAUAUAUAUACACACACAAUAUAUCACUACUCAGCCAUAAAAAAAAUGAAAUAAUGCCAAUUGUAGCAACAUGGAUGGAGGUAUAAAUUAUCAUACUAAAUGUAGUAAACUAGACAGAUAAAAAUGUACAUCAUAUGAUAGAGCUUAUAUGUGGUAUCUUAAAAAAUGAUGCAGAUGAACUGGUACACUAAACAGAAAUAAUACCUAUGGACAUAGGAAACAAAUUUAAGGUUACGAAAGGGGAAAGGUGGGAGAGAUAUGUAAGGAGUUUGGACAUACACACUGCUAUACAAAAAAUAGACAACUAACAAGGACCUAUUGUAUAGCACAUGGAACCUUACCCAAUAUUUUGUGAUUACACAUAAGGGAAAACAACCUAUACAUACAUACAUACACACACACACACACACACACACACACACAUAUAUAUAUAUAUAUAUUAUCAUACAUAUAGAACUGAAUCACUUUGUUAUGUACCUGAAACUAAAAAAAAAACAUUGUAAGACAACUAUAAUUCAAAUUAAUUAAUCGAUUUAAAAAUUGAAAAACUAAUUCCCAAGAAUAGAUCACCAUAAUAAAAUUUAAAGUAUAUGCAUACAUCAAAAAAUCUGCAAAAAUGCCAAAAAUAAUAAUAAUAAAGUAACACAUUAAAAAAAACAAAAUUUAAACACACACAUGCUCAUACACACAAAGCAGUUUGGUGCUUUGAGAAAACAAGUUGAAUGUGUGUUGUGGGUAAUGUCAAAUUUAGGGUUAUAGAGGAAUAAAUGCACAAGAGAUAUGACUAAAGGAAAAGAGAUUGAUACAAUAACAAGGAGUAUUUAAGAGAAAGUUAGAAAGUCCUAGAGAAAUGGGUGCUCAACACAGAACUUUUUAAGGCUUUUCUAACAAGGUCAGUGAGUGAAAGAACAUGUUUAGGUGAUUUUCACUUGGCUAAAAGGUUACUGCUUCUGGAAAGAAUCCCCAGAGCCAAUGUCAUGUCUCUGUUUCUCAGGCUGUAGAUGAAAGGGCUCAGCAUGGGGGUGACCACUGUGUACAUCAUGGAAGCAAUGAUGUCUUUGUCAUGGGACUGGCCUGAUGAGGAGGAAAAGUACAGGGCCAUAAUUGUCCCAUAGAAUAGAGACACCACAGACAGGUGGGAGCCACAGGUGGACAAGGCUUUGCAGAUCCCUUUAGUAGAGAGGACCCUGAGGGUGGAGAGGCCAAUGCAGCCAUAAGAGACCAGGAUGACACUCAUUAGAGAAAAAGAAAACCACAGGCCCUGCAGUGAAUACAACCAGCUCAUUGAGAGAGGCCUCUGAGCAGGACAGUUUAAGUAUGGCAGCAAGGUCACAGGAGAAGUGGGGGAAUAUGUUGUCAGCACAGGACAGUUGAGCCUGGAGGAGGGGUGGGUCAGGGAACUGGCACAAGAGAUGAACCAGGAUCCAUUCAAUGGUCAUAAACACAGCUCCUCCCUCAUGAUGAUGGUGUAGCAUAGAGGGUGACGUGUGUCCAUGUAGCUGUCACAGGCCAUCACUGCAAGAAUAAAGUUAUCAAUGCAAUCAAAAAUAUUAAAAAAAUAUGACUGUUUAACAUCCCUUGCAUAGGGAAUGGAUUGAUCCUGAGUCUGAAUGUUCAUCAGCAUUUUAGGGACAUGACAGAUGAAAAACAGAUGUCCAUGAGGGCUAAGUGGCUGAGGAAGAAGUAUAUGGAGUUGUAGAGGUGAGGGUCCAGCCUGAUGAGCAGGAUGAUGAGCAGGAUCCCCAGCACUGCGGUCAAGUACAUGCCCAGGAACAGGGAAAAGAACAAGCCUUGCUGCUCUGUCUAGAUGGGGAGCCCCAGGAGGAGGAAAUCAGACACGCUGUUCUGGUUCUCCCUCCUCAUGCUUUUCUCUCAUCUGGGAAUGAAGAGAAAUGGGAAAUGUCAGUAACUUAGAUGUAAUGAGUAUAGAAGUUACCACAUGGUCACAAGACUUCUUAGAGUAAACUUCUCAGUGUAGAGACAGAUCUCAUUGCACUGCACUCAUGCAUUGAUGCCAUGUCCAGUCUGGUGAGAGCAAUGCAGUGUGAUUUGUCUGAACAUUGACACAGUCACAUGGAGAAAGUACAUGACUUCAAUCAAGGGCUUCUGUGGAAAUCAGGAACAGCUCACUCUCUUUCUCACAGAAUUGAGACAUAGUAGGUAGAGGGUCAUAAGACAUAGCCCCUUCCAUGGCUCUACUGUCACAAUGUUUAUGUCUCUCUCACACACACACACCACACACACACCACUUAAAACAUUAUUGGGGAAAUUAAUGUACCAUGUACAAAAUAAAUGCUGAACCCCAAAACUAAUUUUUAUCAUUAUAAUGACUG